rnacentral:sRNA from 1 species
GUUGAACUAUUUCCUAUCCAACUGUGUAACUAGCAGUCCAUGAGAUAGAGACAGACAUUCAAGACAUCUAAUUUAACGAAGAAAUGAGGACUGGGACCAAUCUGGUGUCUAUGAUUUGUGUGGCUUGCAUCAUCACAGGAUGUAAAGAAUGUAUUGGAGAAGUCGUUUGUACUAAAAUGACACUGAAUAGCGAGACAUUUAAAGUUUUAGCAAAGAAGGAUGAGCUCGAUACUUUUUCGCUUAGAUAUUACAAUUGUCUGGCAACGAAAACCUCUUCAGUAAAUGAAGUUUAUUUAAAAUUUAAUGUAACGUUGGAGGAUCAUCAAAAAUGUGCAACGUACAAUUUUUUCGAUAAAGCUGAUAUUCAAUUUGAAACAAGUCCCAAAUUUCAAUGUACAUACUAUAACUUUAAGUAUGGAAUGUUCUCGAAUAGAAAAUAUUCUUUGUCGUCUGCUGAUUUUUGAAGUCAUGAAUGAAUUAGAAACAACGUUGAAUCACGCUGGCAGUCAUCUCAAUUGUUCCUCGUUGUCUGACAGUAACUGCAACGCAACAUUGUUUCUUAAUUCAGCUACCUACAAUACAACCAAUUUCAGACAAUAUAUAAAACCAUUAGCUCAGUCAACGUAUGUCACAUCUACAGUAUUUGAAAAUCAACCAAAGUUGAACAAAAGUCUUUCAGUGAAUAGCACACCCUCGACAAAUACAAAUGUGAUCAUAAUCGCUGUCGUGGUUUGUACUUCUUUCAUUUACAUUUGCUUCUCUAUCGGUUUAUUGAUUUUAUACUAAAAACUGCUCAAAAUGUCAGUGGUAUAGCAAUGAACGAAGACAAGAAUAACAUCUCUACAAUUGGUAUGGCUCAGCCAAUACACAUGUUAUACCUUAUAACCCUUCUGUCAUCAGUGAUAUGGACGUGAAUGGCUAUCACGCAUGCGAACAAAAGACUAACAAAUUUAUUAACAGUGUGAACAUCGAAGACUGUAAAGAAACUUCGAAUUUCGAAACCAUAUCUACCUCUUUCUCUUCUACAAAUAGUAACACAAAAGACGGGACAGAGUAUGCCAGAAUUGGCGACAAAGUUAGAUUAGAUUUCAAUGAUUAUGAUUCUCUCCUAUCCCAAAAGGUGCCUCUGAGUGCGCAAAAGUUCUGAGGUCUGUACACAAAACUGUUAAAACUUUCAAACUACCACUUGAAGAUGUAUUGGAAGAUACUAUUUCUCGGGGUAGCUUAUCCUUCAAUGAUAGAUACGUCAAGAAGUUCCUAUAUCCUAGCUACGGAUAUUCAGGUCUUAGAGCUAGAUGCUCCAACAAAUCCUUAUACCUGGGCUAAGAAUGUUCAAGUUUCAGUGAUAGAUGCCCCAACAGAUAUUUAUUCCCAGCCUAAAAAUUUUCGGAUUUUAUUAUAGAUUCUCAGACUAAACCUUAAACCUAGGAAAGGAUGAUUAGGUUUUCUUGUAUUCUGGCAAAGGAUGUUCAGGUUUUUUAAAAAAAGAGACUCCAACAUAGAGCUGCGUAGGAUACCAAAGAUUUGUGUAUAUCAUUGUUAAAAUAUUUUAACCUUCAAAGUAAUUUUACUAUGAUCAUUUUGUUAAUCUUAAACUAUAAGUGUGUUGUCACCACCUCAAAGUUGGUGCCAUAGAGUAGAAACCCUAAUUCUAUAUUGUAAAUGUUAAUUCAAUAUUGUGAAUCUUAUUCACAACUCAUGUUGCCCUAGGGUGAACACUUUUGACCUUAGUUGAACCAGAGAGUUAAAGGCAGUCAGUCAACAUAGAGAUCUUGUAGCAAGCACUUGAUAGAGUCACUUAAUAUAUAAGCACUAGAGUUAGAUCUUUAAAGUAGUUGGUUAUAGAAUAGUUACUAAGUUGUUAUAUUGGUGAUAUU